ensembl:lncRNA
GUGUGAGGGGUUAUAUCAGUAGUCUAGUGUGAGGGGUUAUAACAGUAGUCUAGUGUGAGGGGUUAUAACAGUAGUCUAGGGGUUAUAACAGUAGUCUAGUGUGAGGGUUAUGACAGUAGUCUAGUGGGAGGGGUUAUAACAGUAGUCUAGUGUGAGGGGUUAUAACAGUAGUCUAGUGUGAGGGGUUAUAACAGUAGUCUAGUGUGAGGGGUUAUAACAGUAGUCUAGGGGUUAUAACAGUAGUCUAGUGUGAGGGUUAUGACAGUAGUCUAGUGGGAGGGGUUAUAACAGUAGUCUAGUGUGAGGGGUUAUGUCAGUAGUCUAGUUGUAGGGGUUAUGUCAGUAGUCUAGUGUGAGGGGUUAUAACAGUAGUCUAGGGGUUAUGACAGUAGUCUAGUAUGAGGGGUUAUAACAGUAGUCUAGUGUGAGGGGUUAUGUCAGUAGUCUAGGGGUUAUGACAGUAGUCUAGUGUGAGGGGUUAUGACAGUAGUCUAGUGUGAGGGGUUAUAACAGUAGUCUAGUGUGAGGGGUUAUAACAGUAGUCUAGUGUGAGGGGUUGUAACAGUAGUCUAGUGUGAGGGGUUAUAACAGUAGUCUAGGGGUUAUGUCAGUAGUCUAGUGUGAGGGGUUAUAACAGUAGUCUAGUGGGAGGGGUUAUAACAGUAGUCUAGUGUGAGGGGUUAUAUCAGUAGUCUAGUGGGAGGGUUAUAUCAGUAGUCUAGUGGGAGGGGUUAUGACAGUAGUCUAGUGGGAGGGUUAUAACAGUGGUCUAGUGUGAGGGGUUAUAACAGUAGUCUAGGGGUUAUAUCAGUAGUCUAGUGUGAGGGGUUAUAGCAGUAGUCUAGUGGUUAUAUCAGUAGUCUAGUGGGAGGG